rnacentral:rRNA from 1 species
CACUGACAUUAGAUACCCCUGUAGUCCAGGGUGUAAACGCUGCAGACUUGGUGUUGGAGGCCCUUUGGGGGCAUUCAGUGCCGGAGAGAAGUUGUUAAGUCUGCUACUUGGGGAGUACGUCCGCAAGGAUGAAACUUAAAGGAAUUGGCGGGGGAGCACCGCAACGGGAGGAGCGUGCGGUUUAAUUGGAUUCAACACCGUAAACUCACCAGGGAAGACUGUUACAUGAAGGCCGAGAUGAAGACUCUGCUAGAUUUUCAG